GGCGCCUGCCACCACGCCCGGCUAAUGUUUUUUUGUAUUUUUAGUAGAGACGGGGUUUCACCAUGUUAGGAUGGUCUCAAUCUCCUGACCUCGUGAUCUGCCCGCCUCGGCCUCCCAAAGUGCUGGGAUUACAGGCGUGAGCCACCUCACCCAGUCCGCAUCCAACCUUUUAUUUGGAGACAAUACCUUUCAAGUACUGGUGGGUUACUGAGAUCACCUCCCAUCAGACAAGCAAAAACGCCUCCCAUGCAGCCAGGGUGGGGCUGUGACCUGGGUUUGGCUAAUCACAUACAUUUGCCCAGAGUGAAUCAGAUACUAACUAAUAAAACAGGAGCAGAAACAGUAGAUGUAGCAGCUUUCUCAUCCAGGGUCCAGAGGCAGCUGUGUUGGGAACAGGCAGCUCCAGCUGUGGCACCCCGCAGCAGCCGUGCUCACACCAGGUUGAGAGUGACUGAGUGUGUGCCAUGACUUUGUCCAGGGUCCUGCCCUUUAGCUACCUGCCCUUGUUCCUGCCUAUUUUGCAAGCCUAGUUCUGCAGCCAUUUCAUAUCCUUUCAAUUAAUUCUGUUUCAGUUUAAAUUACUGAGUGGCUUUUUGUUGCUCAUAAUUAGCCCAAGGAUACAAUAACCGCUAAGGUCUGGUUUCUCUCUCCCUCUUUUUGUCAAAAUGUCCAGGUUGCUUGCCACCAUUCUUGUCCUCCCUGCCUGGAGCCUCCUGCCCCUCGGCACAGGGAAAAUUGGACAUUUUGAGCAAGGCCAGGACUUUGAAACAUCUAGGGCAAGGAUGCGUCGAAAAAAGAACAAGUGGCAAACUCACCACCUCGGGACAGGUCUCCCGGCAGCCCUGGAAGGACAGUCUUACCCGGACGCCACGGUGGUCUCCCGGCAGCCCUGGGAAGGACAGUCUUACCCGGACGCCACGGUGGUCUCCCGGCAGCCCUGGGAAGGACAGUCUUACCCGGACGCCACGGUGAGGGAGGAGAAGCGCAGAGUCAGCCGCAGACGGG
rnacentral:lncRNA from 1 species